ACAUGCAAGUCGAACGAGCGAGAGAGAGCUUGCUUUCUCGAGCGAGUGGGGAACGGGUGAGUAACGCGUGAGGAACCUGCCUCAAAGAGGGGGACAACAGUUGGAAACGACUGCUAAUACCGCAUAAGCCCACGACCCGGCAUCGGGAAGAGGGAAAAGGAGCAAUCCGCUUUGAGAUGGCCUCGCGUCCGAUUAGCUAGUUGGUGAGGUAACGGCCCACCAAGGCGACGAUCGGUAGCCGGACUGAGAGGUUGAACGGCCACAUUGGGACUGAGACACGGCCCAGACUCCUACGGGAGGCAGCAGUGGGGAAUAUUGCACAAUGGGGGAAACCCUGAUGCAGCGACGCCGCGUGGAGGAAGAAGGUCUUCGGAUUGUAAACUCCUGUUGUUGAGGAAGAUAAUGACGGUACUCAACAAGGAAGUGACGGCUAACUACGUGCCAGCAGCCGCGGUAAAACGUAGGUCACAAGCGUUGUCCGGAAUUACUGGGUGUAAAGGGAGCGCAGGCGGGAAGACAAGUUGGAAGUGAAAUCCAUGGGCUCAACCCAUGAACUGCUUUCAAAACUGUUUUUCUUGAGUAGUGCAGAGGUAGGCGGAAUUCCCGGUGUAGCGGUGGAAUGCGUAGAUAUCGGGAGGAACACCAGUGGCGAAGGCGGCCUACUGGGCACCAACUGACGCUGAGGCUCGAAAGUGUGGGUAGCAAACAGGAUUAGAUACCCUGGUAGUCCACACCGUAAACGAUAAUUACUAGGUGUUGGAGGAUUGACCCCUUCAGUGCCGCAGUUAACACAAUAAGUAAUCCACCUGGGGAGUACGACCGCAAGGUUGAAACUCAAAGGAAUUGACGGGGGCCCGCACAAGCAGUGGAGUAUGUGGUUUAAUUCGACGCAACGCGAAGAACCUUACCAAGUCUUGACAUCCUGCGACGGUUCUGGAAACAGAGCUUUCCUUCGGGACGCAGAGACAGGUGGUGCAUGGUUGUCGUCAGCUCGUGUCGUGAGAUGUUGGGUUAAUCCCGCAACGAGCGCAACCCUUAUGGUCAGUUACUACGCAAGAGGACUCUGGCCAGACUGCCGUUGACAAAACGGAGGAAGGUGGGGAUGACGUCAAAUCAUCAUGCCCUUUAUGACUUGGGCUACACACGUACUACAAUGGCGUUAAACAAAGAGAAGCAAGACCGCGAGGUGGAGCAAAACUCAGAAACAACGUCCCAGUUCGGACUGCAGGCUGCAACUCGCCUGCACGAAGUCGGAAUUGCUAGUAAUCGUGGAUCAGCAUGCCACGGUGAAUAC
rnacentral:rRNA from 1 species